GACGAACGCUGGCGGCGUGCUUAACACAUGCAAGUCGAACGGGCUCUGUCUGGCUGUGUGCUGGGUGGGGUUAGUGGCGAACGGGUGAGUAAUACGUGAGUAACCUGCCCUCUUCUUUGGGAUAAGCCUUGGAAACGGGGUCUAAUACUGGAUAUUCCUGUCUGGUCGCAUGGCUGGGUGGGGAAAGUUUUUUUCGGUGGGGGAUGGGCUCGCGGCCUAUCAGCUUGUUGGUGGGGUGAUGGCCUACCAAGGCGUCGACGGGUAGCCGGCCUGAGAGGGGGCACGGCCACACUGGGACUGGGAUACGGCCCCGACUCCUACGGGAGGCAGCAGUGGGGGAUAUUGCACAAUGGGCGCGAGCCUGAUGCAGCGACGCCGCGUGGGGGAUGACGGCUUUCGGGUUGUAAACCUCUUUCGUCGGGGGACAAGGCUCUGCUUGGUGGUGGGGUUGAGGGUACCCGGUGAAGAAGCGCCGGCUAACUACGUG
rnacentral:rRNA from 1 species